rnacentral:rRNA from 1 species
CCUACGGGAGGCAGCAGUGAGGAAUAUUGGUCAAUGGCCGGAAGGCUGAACCAGCCAUGCCGCGUGAAGGUCAGUGCCCUAUGGGCGUUAAACUUCUUUUGUGCGGGAGCAAUAAUGGUCACGUGUGGCCAGACGAGAGUACCGUACGAAUAAGCAUCGGCUAACUCCGUGCCAGCAGCCGCGGUAAUACGGGGGAUGCAAGCGUUAUCCAGAUUUAUUGGGUUUAAAGGGUGCGUAGGCUGUGAGGUAAGUCAGCGGUGAAAUGCCCCCGCUCAACGGGGUGAAGUGCCAUUGAUACUGCCUGGCUGGAAGGCGGAUGCCGUGGGAGGAAUGUGUGGUGUAGCGGUGAAAUGCAUAGAGAUCACACAGAACACCGAUUGCGAAGGCAUCUCACGAAUCCGCGAUUGACGCUGAUGCACGAAAGCGUGGGUAUCAAACAGGAUUAGAUACCCGAGUAGUC